rnacentral:rRNA from 1 species
GUGCCAGCAGCCGCGGUAAUUCCAGCUCCAAUAGCGUAUAUUAAAGUUGUUGCAGUUAAAAAGCUCGUAGUUGAACCUUGGGCCUGGCUAGCCGGUCCGCCUCACCGCGUGUACUGGUCCGGCUGGGCCUUUCCUUCUGGGGAUCCGCAUGCCCUUCACUGGGUGUGCCGGGGAACCAGGACUUUUACUGUGAAAAAAUUAGAGUGUUCAAAGCAGGCCUUCGCUCGAAUACAUUAGCAUGGAAUAAUAGAAUAGGACGUUGCGGUUCUAUUUUGUUGGUUUCUAGGACCGCCGUAAUGAUUAAUAGGGAUAGUCGGGGGCAUCAGUAUUCAAUUGUCAGAGGUGAAAUUCUUGGAUUUAUUGAAGACUAACUACUGCGAAAGCAUUUGCCAAGGAUGUUUUCAUUAAUCAGGAACGAAAGUUAGGGGAUCGAAGACGAUCAGAUACCGUCGUAGUCUUAACCAUAAACUAUGCCGACUAGGGAUCGGGCGAUGUUAUCAUUUUGACUCGCUCGGCACCUUACGAGAAAUCAUAAGUUUUUGGGUUCUGGGGGGAGUAUGGUCGCAAGGCUGAAACUUAAAGAAAUUGACGGAAGGGCACCACCAGGCGUGGAGCCUGCGCUUAAUUUGACUCAACACGGGGAAACUCACCAGGUCCAGACACAAUAAGGAUUGACAGAUUGAGAGCUCUUUUCUUGAUUUUGUGGGUGGUGGUGCAUGGUCCGUUCUUAGUAGGUGGAGUGAUUUGUCUGCUUAAUGCGAUAACGACGAUACUUAUCCUACUAAAUAGCCGGCCCGCUUUGCGGUCGCGCUCUUAGAGGGACUAUCGCUCAAGCCGAUGAAGUUGAGGCAAUAACAGGCCUG